rnacentral:tRNA from 1 species
GGGGCAGUAGCUCAGAUGGGAGAGCGCGUCGUUCGCAAUGACGAGGUCAGGGGUUCGAUCCCCCUCUGCUCCACCA